rnacentral:rRNA from 1 species
GUCUAUAACCAUGCCACCGUGAAUGGGCCCAAUCUCAUCUGAUCUCGGAAGCUAAGCAGUGUCAGGCCUGGUUAGUACUUGGAUGGGAGACCACCUGGGAAUAACAGGUGCUGUAGGCA